GUACAUGAUGAUUUGCGCGUUCAAUAUAAAGAUAAGUGUUUUUCAUUUUUUGUAAUUUUCAUUUGGUAUAUAUAUUUUUGUCAUGCAUAUAUUUAUUCUUGGAUAUGUAUGUUUUAAAUUUAAAUAUUUUAUGCGUAAUCGAAUUAUAUAUUCCUCUUGUCGAGUAUGAAUUAUUAUUAUAACACCAAAAAUAUAUUGAUAUAUUUAUGUGUGGUGUUUAUAUAAUAAAUAUUGUGUAUCUCUAACCUAAUAUUUUAUUUAGUAGCUAUUUUUAGACAGGAAAAGAAUUCGUAAGGCGAGCUCAGGAUGAAAGUAAUGUGAAUCGAGGAUAUUUACAAGAUGUGUCUCCCCCGAAUAGCGAGAGGCGCGCCUUCCCCUAACAGGGCGCGCCAUGAGAUAAAUACUAACCUUAUAAUUUUGCUAAAUAUAAUUGUGUAUAUAUGUUGUAUACAGAGACACGUCCAACACUUCAGUCUUCAAGAUUCAGAGUAAAUAUAUGUCACAACACAUCUUCGCAACACUGUCUUCUCCAACCUGCAUCUUCAAGUCAAGCUCAUACUCCGAAACUGGGGGGUGAUCAUACAAAUUAGAAGAAGGAUUUGGAUAAAAAGGGCGCGCCUCAUCCUCAUCUAAGACGUGGUAGAAGGCACGUUCUUCUACUUCAUCCUCGGCUUCCGCGGCCUCAUCUCCAGCAUCGGCCUCCGCGGCCUCAUCUCCAGCCUUGGCUUCCGCAGCCUCAUCUCUCCUUCAUUCUUGGCUUCCGCGGCC
rnacentral:lncRNA from 1 species